rnacentral:lncRNA from 1 species
ACGGGUGGCGUCUAGUGAAUGAGUUCAAGUACGAGUCUAAGUGUAAAAGAAAGUGAAUGAGAAUGAGAAUGAAUAAGUGAAAGUGAAUAAGGAUGUGAAAGGAUAAGUGAAUGUAUAAGUGAAUAACGUUAAGGUUAAGCAUGGGUUGGGAAAUGAUAUAGAGUCUAGAGGGAGUACGUGGGGUAGUAGUUCUAUGCUAGGCAUCCAUAGGA